AAUCAACGCUGGCGGCGUGCCUAACACAUGCAAGUCGCACGAGAAAGGGGCUUCGGCCCUGAGUAAAGUGGCGCACGGGUGAGUAACACGUGAAUCAUCUACCUUCGAGUGGGGAAUAACUGAGAGAAAUCUUAGCUAAUACCGCAUAAUACCUACGGGUCAAAGCAGCAAUGCGCUUGAAGAGGAGUUCGCGGCAGAUUAGUUAGUUGGCGGGGUAAUGGCCCACCAAGACGAUGAUCUGUAUCCGGCCUGAGAGGGCGCACGGACACACUGGAAC
rnacentral:rRNA from 1 species